AGUGAACGCUGGCGGUAGGCCUAACACAUGCAAGUCGAACGGCAGCACAGUAAGAGCUUGCUCUUACGGGUGGCGAGUGGCGGACGGGUGAGGAAUACAUCGGAAUCUACUUUUUCGUGGGGGAUAACGUAGGGAAACUUACGCUAAUACCGCAUACGACCUACGGGUGAAAGCAGGGGAUCUUCGGACCUUGCGCGAUUGAAUGAGCCGAUGUCGGAUUAGCUAGUUGGCGGGGUAAAGGCCCACCAAGGCGACGAUCCGUAGCUGGUCUGAGAGGAUGAUCGGCCACACUGGAAUUGAGACACGGUCCAGACUCAUACGGUAGGCAUCAGUGGGGAAUAUUGGACAAUGGGCGCAAGCCUGAUCCAGCCAUACCGCGUGAGUGAAGAAGUCCUUCGGGUUGUAAAGCCCUUUUGUUGGGAAAGAAAAGCAGCAGGUUAAUACCCCGCUGUUCUGACGGUACCCAAAGAAUAAGCACCGGCUAACUUCGUG
rnacentral:rRNA from 1 species